AGCAGCCGCGGUAAUUCCAGCUCCAAUAGCGUAUAUUAAAGUUGUUGCAGUUAAAAAGCUCGUAGUUGAAUUUCGGGACUAAUAUGUCGGUCGUGCCUCGGUACGUACUGGUAUUUUUGGUUUCUCCCUUCUGACGAACCUUGAUGUCAUUAAUUUGGUGUCUUGGGAAAUCAGGACUGUUACUUUGAAAAAUUAGAGUGUUUAAAGCAGGCUUACGCUUGAAUACAUUAGCAUGGAAUAAUGAAAUAGGACGUUUGAUUCUAUUUUGUUGGUUUCUAGGAUCGACGUAAUGAUUAAUAGGGAUAGUUGGGGGCAUUAGUAUUCAAUUGUCAGAGGUGAAAUUCUUGGAUUUAUUGAAGACUAACUACUGCGAAAGCAUUUGCCAAGGAUGUUUUCAUUAAUCAAGAACGAAAGUUAGGGGAUCGAAGACGAUCAGAUACCGUCGUAGUCUUAAACCAUAAACUAUGCCGACUAGGGAUCGGAUGAUGUUAAUUUUUAAUGACUCA
rnacentral:rRNA from 1 species